GCAAACCAACGUUGACUUGUAUUGACCCUGAACAUCAUUUUUUGACACGAUUAAACUGUCAGUUAAGAGAAUACAAAAAUCCAAAACAUUCACUAGAACUUAUGGAGUUUUGAACAAGUUACGCAAUAAACAGAACCACUGAAGCCUGGUACUUGGUGAUUCUAAAUUUUAAUACUUGAAACUAGUUGCAUCCCUAUGAUUGAUAAUAUUGACUUAUAUUGACCCUGAACAUCAUUGUUCAACAUGAUUAAAUCGUCAGUUAAGGCCACAUUCGGUAACGUUAGCUUUUUUGUUUUUUGUUCUUUUUUAGUUCAAAAAAAUUGCAAAUGUGUUCGGUUGAGACUCUGUUAUCAUUUUUUCUUUGUUUUCUCAAAACUGAUUUGAAAAGUAAAAACGCUUAAAAUGAAACCACAAAAAGUGGUUUCGUCCAUUUCAUUUUUUUUUUCUUUAAUUUUUUUCUCUUCCCUUCCAAGUUCUGACUCUCUACCUUCAAUUUCUCUGUUUCUUUCUCUUCUAUUUAUUGUCUCAUGCCAAGUCUUAUAAAUCUAACAUGCUUCUUCACCAUAUUUAAACUAUAAUUUCUUUCAGGAUCUCUCUUUAUUCUUCUUCAUCUAAAUCCAAGUGUUUAUGGAAAGAAGAAUCACUCUCUUACUUGGAGAUUAAAUCAAAACAUCAAAAAAAAAAAUUUCCUUCGAUUUCUUACAAAUGUCUCACAGUGGCUAGCUCAUUUCAAUAGAUAUGAUUUUUAUAUUUGAAAGGUUUUUCUUUUAUAUACGUAUGAUUAAAUGUUGGAGAGAUUGAAAUCCAUUGCGAGAAUAAAGUUUCUAUUUUGAUUGUGUAGUUUUCAUUUUGAAGGAAAAGAAAUUAAUAGUCUGUUAUGAUAUGUUUUCAACGUAUUCGAUAAAAUGACUUGAAAAGAAGACUUUUGUUACUGCAAAGAUUUCAAGGCUACAAAUGGUUGCUGCUCCCACAUUCAUGGUUAUUUUGUUCAACUAAAAAAACAGUUUAUAAAAAACAAACAAUAGAAAACUCUCAACCGUUUCAGUUUUCAAAAAAUUAAAAACCAAAAACAUGUGUUAACGAGCACAUCCUAAGCGAAUACAGAAAUCCAAUAUGCUCAGUAAAACUUUUGAAGUUUUGAACAAGUGAUGCAAUAAACAGAACAGCUGAUGCCUGGGGCUUGGUGAUACUAAAUUUUAAUACUUGAACCUAGGUGCAUCCCUAUGACUGAUAAUGCUGUUUGUUCAUAAAAAUGCCAAGUACAUAGCUAAGAUUAUAUUCAAGGGUAAAACUCAAAUAGCAAAUAUGAAGUAACACAGAUGAAGUGCAUCUCUAAUUGUUCUUGGACAUCUCCUAAUUGUGCUUGAUAAUUGUAUAUCAAUCAGCAACUUUGAACUCAAGACUACAUAAUCUAGAACAGUAUAACAAAAAGAUUAGUAAGGUUGCAGCUAUUCAACUACUAUGCAAACCAAAUUCCAAACAAGAAGCUAACAGAUGAAACAUAAGAUUUUAUUGCACGACAUUCUAUGACAAUAAACAAACAGAUAAAACAUAAGAUUUUACUUGGCAAACAUCCACAAUUAUGGAAUCAUUCCGAGCUUUGUGAUUUCUCCAACACUCAUCUGCAACCUCCUCAUCUGGACGACCACCCCAAUCCUUCAUUUCAAUGUAAGGUUUCUGCUUGACACGAUUCAAAUCUUCAUGCAGCCCA
rnacentral:misc_RNA from 1 species